rnacentral:rRNA from 1 species
GACGAACGCUGGCGGCGUGCCUAAUACAUGCAAGUUGAGCGCUGAAGGUUGGUACUUGUACCAACUGGAUGAGCAGCGAACGGGUGAGUAACGCGUGGGGAAUCUGCCUUUGAGCGGGGGACAACAUUUGGAAACGAAUGCUAAUACCGCAUAAAAACUUUAAACACAAGUUUUAAGUUUGAAAGAUGCAAUUGCAUCACUCAAAGAUGAUCCCGCGUUGUAUUAGCUAGUUGGUGAGGUAAAGGCUCACCAAGGCGAUGAUACAUAGCCGACCUGAGAGGGUGAUCGGCCACAUUGGGACUGAGACACGGCCCAAACUCCUACGGGAGGCAGUAGUAGGGAAUCUUCGGCAAUGGACGAAAGUCUGACCGAGCAACGCCGCGUGAGUGAAGAAGGUUUUCGGAUCGUAAAACUCUGUUGGUAGAGAAGAACGUUGGUGAGAGUGGAAAGCUCAUCAAGUGACGGUAACUACCCAGAAGGGGACGGCUAACUACGUG